UACGUAGGGUGCGAGCGUUGUCCGGAAUUAUUGGGCGUAAAGAGCUUGUAGGCGGUUUGUCGCGUCUGCUGUGAAAAUCCGGGGCUCAACCCCGGACUUGCAGUGGGUACGGGCAGACUAGAGUGUGGUAGGGGAGACUGGAAUUCCUGGUGUAGCGGUGAAAUGCGCAGAUAUCAGGAGGAACACCGAUGGCGAAGGCAGGUCUCUGGGCCACUACUGACGCUGAGGAGCGAAAGCAUGGGGAGCGAACAGG
rnacentral:rRNA from 1 species